rnacentral:rRNA from 1 species
GUGUCAGCAGCCGCGGUAAGACGUAGGAGGCGAGCGUUAUCCGGAUUCACUGGGCGUAAAGCGCAUGUAGGCGGUUCGAUAAGUCCGCUGUUAAAGCCCCCGGCUCAACUGGGGGAGGUCAGUGGAGACUAUAGGACUUGAGGGCAACAGAGGCACGUGGAACUCCCGGUGUAGCGGUGGAAUGCGUAGAGAUCGGGAAGAACACCAGUGGCGAAGGCGACGUGCUGGGUUGCGACUGACGCUGAGAUGCGAAAGUGUGGGGAGCAAACGGGAUUAGAAACCCCCGUAGUCC